rnacentral:rRNA from 1 species
GACGAACGCUGGCGGCGUGCUUAACACAUGCAAGUCGAACGGAAAGGCCCUGCUUUUGUGGGGUGCUCGAGUGGCGAACGGGUGAGUAACACGUGAGUAACCUGCCCUUGACUUUGGGAUAACUUCAGGAAACUGGGGCUAAUACCGGAUAGGAGCUCCUGCUGCAUGGUGGGGGUUGGAAAGUUUCGGCGGUUGGGGAUGGACUCGCGGCUUAUCAGCUUGUUGGUGGGGUAGUGGCUUACUAAGGCUUUGACGGGUAGCCGGCCUGAGAGGGUGACCGGCCACAUUGGGACUGAGAUACGGCCCAGACUCCUACGGGAGGCAGCAGUGGGGAAUAUUGCACAAUGGGCGGAAGCCUGAUGCAGCAACGCCGCGUGCGGGAUGACGGCCUUCGGGUUGUAAACCGCUUUCGCCUGUGACGAAGCGUGAGUGACGGUAAUGGGGAAAGAAGCACCGGCUAACUACGU